rnacentral:rRNA from 1 species
UACGUAGGUGGCAAGCGUUGUCCGGAUUUAUUGGGUUUAAAGGGUGCGUAGGCGGUUUUGUAAGUCAGUGGUGAAAUACUCCAGCUUAACUGGAGGGGUGCCAAUGAUACUGCAGAACUUGAGUACAGAUGAGGUAGGCGGAAUUGACGGUGUAGCGGUGAAAUGCAUAGAUAUCGUCAAGAACACCGAUAGCGAAGGCAGCUUACUGGGCAAAUACUGACGCUGAGGAACGAAAGCAUGGGGAGCAAACAGG